rnacentral:misc_RNA from 1 species
AAUUUUUUUUAUGUAACCAAACCAAAGAAGCAUAAAAGGUACAAGGAAGUACCGUUUAGCUCCGGCGGUAAGAGUGCAGUUAUUAGGUUUUCAACUCCCAAUAUUCAACUGUCAGACCAAAAAAGCUGUAUUAGAAAAAUGUAAUCAGUAGCUUUUGUAGCUCCAAAUAGUCAACCCCCAGCAAUAAGGUUUACUUUUAUAUCCCCCUACCCAACCCAAACGUAGCAUGCUUGUAUGAAAAAGAUCCUAUAUACAGUGAUUAUGAGAGUGCUGACUUCUCCCAGACGACCAACAAAUUGUUGCUAUUUACAACGUUCUGAGGGCACCCAACAAGAGGGUAUGAAUAAGAUUUCAUGCGUUAACCCAAAGCAGCAGUUGAUAAAUUUUA